ACACUCCUACGGGAGGCAGCAGUGGGGAAUAUUGCACAAUGGGCGCAAGCCUGAUGCAGCCAUGCCGCGUGUAUGAAGAAGGCCUUCGGGUUGUAAAGUACUUUCAGCGGGGAGGAAGGCGAUAAGGUUAAUAACCUUGUCGAUUGACGUUACCCGCAGAAGAAGCACCGGCUAACUCCGUGCCAGCAGCCGCGGUAAUACGGAGGGUGCAAGCGUUAAUCGGAAUUACUGGGCGUAAAGCGCACGCAGGCGGUCUGUCAAGUCGGAUGUGAAAUCCCCGGGCUCAACCUGGGAACUGCAUUCGAAACUGGCAGGCUAGAGUCUUGUAGAGGGGGGUAGAAUUCCAGGUGUAGCGGUGAAAUGCGUAGAGGUCUGGAGGAAUACCGGUGGCGAAGGCGGCCCCCUGGACAAAGACUGACGCUCAGGUGCGAAAGCGUGGGGAGCAAACAGGAUUAGAAACCCUUGUAGUCCC
rnacentral:rRNA from 1 species